AUGAGAUGGGGGCGGAGGGGGGGGCGGCGGGACGGAGAUUCCAGUCUCUCUUCAGGACACCCACUCUACAAUUGGGCAAUUGGGGAGGAGGAAGGCAUCGGGAGAAACGACCCGAAGGAAAGAGAAGCUGGCUCUUUGCAAUGGGAGAAGGCGUUCACUCCUGAACCAGGGGCAGGCCUGCGGCUGGGUGGACGCUGUAGGGUGGGAACGCUCGAUAACUGGAGAGUCCCAGAGACCACCAGGCCUUUCCGCACCAGGAAAAAAAAAAAAAUCUGCUCUAAGAAUCUUCAUCUCGGUCCACCAGGAACAGCAAGUGGAUGGGAAAGAACCUUGACAACACAAAACUCAUUUACUAAUGGACUGGUUUUGGGUUUCUCUUCUCUGAGUCCGCAAAUCUCUCUGCCUGAGCCCCAGGCCUAUUCAGACCUCGUGGAGAGCGGCGUCCCCCAGGAACAGGUGGGCUGCUGCUCCGGCGCCACGCCGGCCGUCAGAGUCGGAGUUCCCAAGGGUCGAGGGCACCCGGAGUUUCCGACUAAGCACAAGAAAAAUAAUUUUGGCACUUCAGCCCGGAUUUGGGGAGUCUCCGCACUGCCCCAGAGCGAUGACACGAAUUUAUUGAAGAAACACCUCUCUGUGCCCUCCCUUUCCAAAUAUUUGUAGGUAGAGUAGGAUCCUCACCGUCGUUCUGGAUGGUGAAAGAAUUACAACAAAGCUGCCCGGGAGCCCCAAAGUAUCUUGCUCCAAGCCAGAAGGGAAACAAGUAGGUCCCAGCUAGGAGUGUUUGCAUCAAGGCCUAUGUGAACCCAGCUGAGAAACCCUAGCAACUGCUAAUGCUGUCCCAUUGAAUGCUUUUUUGUCGACUAAUUAUGCGCACGCGGCCGUUACCUGCACAGAGGAGGCACUGGAGAGCCGAAACCUAGCAUCGGGCGCUCCUUGCCAGCGGUGUUCUCUCCCAAGCCGCGCUGCGGCGAGGGCAGCAGCCGCUGGCUAGAGUUGCUUGUUUCCUUUAAAUCUCCAACGCAUCUCUGCUUUUCGUGCGAUUUGCAUUGACAGCAAAGGUUUUAUGUUACCAGAACAACUCAAACCUUUCUGCGUGCGAUUUUAAAUGGAUCAUUUGGUUUAGGUGGUUUGUAAAUUCAUGUCAUUUUAUCUUUUUUAGUGAUUUUCAGUAAAAGAUUCCAUUUGGGAAACCGUAUAUAUCCGAGCCAAUAAUUAACAUUUAUAACAAUUGGUUCCCCUAACCGAGGGAUCGAAAUAGCAGGUAGACUCCUUGGUAUAAAGCGCAGAGCACUUUCCAUUUCCAGUUACUCGAUCUAUUGGAUUAAGCGGGAGGAAAAAUGUUGGCGGGCCCAGUCACGGCCUCCGAGGAAGAGCACCUCUUCUCUUCUACCCGGGUUCCCGCAAUCACAGCUUCUACACGUCGUUUUCCCAGUUGACGGCAAUAUAUAGUACGUCCUGGUUCCUUUUGAAGACAAGUAAAAAGAAAUAGGCAGGUAGGUCUGGAGGAAGCCGGGGUGGGGUGGGGGGGAAGGUGGUCCUAUUCGUGUCUAAUUGCCAUCUCUCUGCUCUCUGUCAUCCUCUGUAAAUGUAUACCUGCCCUUAUUUGUCCAGGCUAUGCCUCAUUUCCUUAUACAGAAUUGUUAAUUACAAAUCAGACCUCAUACUCAACAUACUGUUUGUCUUUCAAGAGACGUGGUUGUGCUUAAAGACCCUCCCCUCCUUGUAAUUGUGCGCACUUGCUCCAGACUUUAGGGUAUUAACUGAUUUUUUAGAGCCGGGUUUAAGCCUCCGUUCCGGUCCUCACACAGCUGCCAUGUCAAUAAGGACUGUUUCAAGCAGAGACAUUCCUUCUGGGAGGACACUGCAGCUCCUUAAGACUUCAUGUGAAACAUCAUAAGCACUAAAAUGAGACAGUGAGGGGAAAUUACCAGAGGUGGCUCUGGGUUUAACAGUGCCAGGCUUCCAGUUUAGAAAGUCAUUGGGCAUACUAUAUGGCAGAGGCUCUUUUGAAAGAAUGCACACCCAUUAAAUGCAUUUUUUUUAAAAGCCUAAGGUAAUGAAAUAUAAGCAUCUGCUUCCAAGAUCUAAUUGCAUGGAAUAAGCAAGAGUUUCCAGGAUGCAGAAAGCAUUAUGUUCAGCAGAGAAGCAGCUUCCUGUCUACUUGGAAUCUCCCAUGUGGCAACCCUGAGGUGGGAACCCUAUAUGAGUUUAGAAUGUAUGUUGCAGGGUGCACUGUACUGGGUGCAUCAUUUUAAAACCAUAUUAAUAAUAAAAGGGGAAACCCAGACACUGCUUCUCCUUCUCCCACUUGCAUCUCAAUAUGCAGAAGGUUCUGUGGUGCUGGGCUCUUUGACUAAAGGAAUCAAAACAUAUUUAAAGAAGACAAGCUAGUUUAAGGAGCCUACAGUUUGUUCUUCACCACUCACUAAGAGGGCACAUUGAAAUCAAAAGCAUUUUUGAAGUGUACUUAGAAUUCUGUUUUGAACUUAUCUAAUCAGAGAUAAGUAUAGUCAUAAAGUCACUCUCCUUCCACCAUUUGGCUUCCCUUAUCUCCACGCAUUGUUCUUAUCUCCUGCUGGUCUCAGCUACCGACAAUAGAUUAUCUUUGUUUAGAGAGGCUAAUUGUCUUCAAAAUCUUUUUAAUAAUUGCUUUGGAACCAGGUGUGCAAAUGAGGCUUAAGAUAAUUACAACUUCAUUUGUUUGUGCAGUUUUACUAAGCAUUCUCCACACAUAAACAAAACAGCAGAUGAUGGGACUUAAAUUGCAGUACAUCUCUCAUUCCUUGGCAGCAAAAUAGGCCAGCAUUGCAACACACACACACACACACACACACACACACACACACACACACACCCCUCUUUAUUUAAUCUUCUUGGAGCCGCUGUCGUCCUCGCUUUGAGGGCAGUGUCCCUCUCAGAGCAGGGUAAGGAUUAUGUUACAACCGGACGGUUAUUGGAGCCGGGCACAAUUUUAUUUAAUUUACACCACAUCCAGCGCCUUUCGUACGAGGUUCCCAAAGCAUUUUUUGCUAAUAGCAAGUAAAGCUUCUCGGCAUUCCUCAGUAGCAGAAGUGGCAUUGGAAAACGCAACAGCACAGAUGGGGGAAAUUGAGUCUAGAAGCUUCAGGAACCUGCUGGUUUCAACCGCAGAACAUUAAGAUACCAAAUCACAAAUGAACGCUCGGAGUCUCUAGGUGCUCAGCAAGUAUGCCCGAAACACCUCUUUGCCUGGUCUCAAAUCAUGGACGUCCUUUGUGAAUGAGGGAAACGCUGUCCGACUGGGAGUACUUGUGCCCUUUGGAGGGUGGUGUGCGGCAGCUGGGGGAGGACAGUGGGAGUUGGUGGGGGGAGGGGGAAGGAAAUAGGGUUGGCUUCUCGAGCUGAAGCCAACCCGAAGAGAAGCCACUGCUGCAGAGGCUGCAUGCGGAGACCCAGGUCUGCUCUUGAAUUAUUUAUCGCGUUCCAUAAGCUAUUCAUCAAUCCAUUAUUUAUUCAUUCCAACAUUAAAGUAAUUAAAUAUGAGCUCACCGGGAAAGGGCAAGUUUGUAAGGGAUGAAAGCAAGAGUACGGAGGGAGAGGGGAGGAAUUAAGGUUUGGAGUAAUUGAUUUGUGCGGAGUUUUGCGCGACUCCCCUUAGGUGAUACUGGUGACGGGUCCCGCGCUGCAGGGUCCUGACGCGCUCACCCACUCUCUAUCUCCCCACACCUCCGCAGCGCAGCUCCCUCAGACCCCAACUGGCUUCCCACCUUUCCUCUUCCUUCUCCUCCCACCACUCCCUCCCUGCGCAGCCCCGGCAACACCCCCAACCCCCAGCUCCUCAGCCUCGCCCUCCCCGCGCUGGGCGGUGCGGCCUCGAUGGGCGGUGCGGCCUCUCUGCCCAGCCGGGCGGCGCGCUGGCUGGCCAGCCCGGGAUAGGCGCCGCCCGCA
rnacentral:lncRNA from 1 species